GACAUUCAAACGCGACUGCAAUGAAAACGAAUGGGACUGUAAAAGAUGUGUUGGCAUCAAAAUUCAGGGUGUGAACUACGAUUCGAGUCAGUGUUGAUUGACAUGGUAAUACUAACAGUAUUGGAGAAAAUAUUUUAAAAAGCUGACCCCUCUGACGCUGUACGUUACAUCGUGAUCAUCACUAGUAAAGUACAGCGCGCAUUUGCAACUCAUUUUGUGCCAUACAGCCUCUUUCCAUCAGGGGUAGCCCUUCUCUCACAGAUUAAAAUCAUGCUUUAACCAUAUACACUUGUAAGACAACUUCAUUAUUUUUGUCUAAAUUAAUAUAAUUAUUGCUAAUAUUAAACUAACAUUUCUUGACUAGGGUGCCAGUUGCAUUUUUUCCCCACAUCAUUACUGCAAGCCAUCAUGACACUCAAAAGCCAGCACAGCUGCAGUUCACUUGUGAGGCUAAUGUUAGCGCAGCCCUAAAUCCCUAUUCAAAUUUGACAGAAACCUUCAAACAGGUAGUCCAGCAUGGCCUCAGCCUUCGCCUGCUCGUUCACAGACUGCUCAUGGAAGAACGCUGCCACUCUUGGCAAGGCAAUGUCAUCCUGCUCAAAUAUCUUAGCCUGGAAGAGUCAAUACAGAGUAAGUCAGAAUUUCGUAAACAAGUAACUUGCAGUUGCAGCCUAUUGCUAGAUGGUCGGGUCGUCCUUACCAGUGCAUCAAGUAUGUAAGCGACCUCCAUAAUCAAUGUAGAUACUCCGCACAAACUCUCCUCAAC